UACGUAGGGUGCAAGCGUUGUCCGGAAUUAUUGGGCGUAAAGAGCUCGUAGGCGGUUUGUUGCGUCGGCCGUGAAAACCUGCAGCUUAACUGUGGGCCUGCGGCCGAUACGGGCAGACUUGAGUUCGGUAGGGGAGACUGGAAUUCCUGGUGUAGCGGUGAAAUGCGCAGAUAUCAGGAGGAACACCGGUGGCGAAGGCGGGUCUCUGGGCCGAUACUGACGCUGAGGAGCGAAAGCGUGGGAGCGAACAGG
rnacentral:rRNA from 1 species